GUAGUGGGGCAGUGGUUAAGGCUCUGGGUUAUUGAUCAGAAGGUCCAGGGUUCAAGCCCCAGCACCACCACA